GGUGUGAACAAGUGAGCCGACACUUGAAUUGGUUGUCUAUGAUUGUGGCAUAACUUCAAUAUCCACAAUUUAGACCUACAUAUUUUUAAUAUAUAACUAAUGUACAAAGGUAGAACCCUUCUAAAUACAAAGGCAGAACCAAAUAAAAAUAUUGCUUACCCUUUCAUUUUCCUCCAUAUGUUUUUAAAAUAUAUAUCUUUGAUGUUGUUUGAUG
rnacentral:lncRNA from 1 species